CUAUAUAAUUAUUACAGUUGCGUCUUUCAUACGUUCAGUAUUACUACAUCUUUAUAAGUUCAAUGCAGUAGAGCCUUGUAACCCUCUCUAAGUAUCGUUCGACCAGUAUGAAAAGAAAAAAGGAGUAAGAUGAUAAUAGUUGGUCGAUUGUAUUACGCAUAGCCGUAAGCUCUGCAGAUGCGUGAUGCGCUAAACGUGACGCGGUACGACGUUCCGCGGGUUAACAGUAUUUACGGAACACUGUUUUUGGGCAUCGUUACUGGGAAAAAUCGAUGUUCGACCUGAUAGGACACAGAAAAUAUGGAUUCAUGACGCAGUUCCUCAAAGGGCCUAGCUGCUGUUAAGCAAGGUUUUCGAAAAAGUUCUGUGUCUAAGUUGCAGUGAGCCUGCGCACGAAUAAACGCGCAAUGCGACACGCGAUAGAAUAGGACAGGGAGUCUCGUAAUCUCGUUAAAAAGAGACGGAACGGGGGAUGGAGAAGCGCACAGCGGCGUUCACGAUUAACGAAAAUACAAUAUUGAAGACUAUUUCGUGUUCAAUUUACAAAAUAAUGUUCAUUUUCAAUCGCUUUAUAUUUGAAUAUGUAUCUGAUACAGCAGAGGAUGCUGUCUCUGUAUUGUAUUCGAAAAAAUUGAAAACUUUAUGCGAUUAUUAAAUUUCCUGGAUUGCAUUAUUAAAAAUGUUAGAAGGUUCUUGUUACGUUUUGUUUUUAAUUAAUGAUAUUGCAAGCAAUACUUGUACGUGUGAUUAAGGAAAUAAUGAUACUAUAUUCGAAAUAUCAAUAUUGUACUAAAUAAAAAACGUUUAAAUUCAGUCUAUAUAGAAAUAUUGUACGAUAGUUUGUUGGUAUACAGUAAGUUUUUAGAAAAAUUCAUCAUUCACCAAUGUGAAAAUAUUUUAUGAAGUCUUCUGAGUAAAUUAAAUUUUAGUGAUUUUAUCGUGAAGUUACGCGAAUUUUGUAUUAUAUCAUAUAUACAGUAUUGUAUCGUAAUUAUUCUCGUUUCUCCAAUACUUCAUGUAUAUCUUUCUCCAUUUGUUUCGUUUAUUAAAAUUCUUUUGAAAUUAAAAAAUAUGAUAUAUAUACAUAAUUAUUAAAUUUUUAUAAUAUUAAACCUUCAAAGAUAUUUAUUUAAAAAAUAUUACUUUAUAAAUAUUUGUAGCAAAAGUCUAGAAUUUAUUUUAAUCAAUCAAUAUCCACUGUAAAAAUAUUUCUACCGUAAUAAAUUAUAAGGGCACACAUUCAACUGUAACUUGUAAGAUGUUCAAUAAAUUUAUUUAACAUUAUCUAGUAGCUUUAAAAAACCCUUACCUUCAAUCACAAUAUGUGCAAACAGAAGAAAAUAACCUAUAUUAUAUUAUAACCUACAUUAUAUGCAUUUUCAAUAAUAAAAAGUAAAUUGAUUUAUAUUUAACAAAAUAUUUUUUAGCGGAACGUAAUUCUUACGAAAUAACAUUCCCUUUAGAAUGUUUAUUGAAUAAUUAUUAUUCUACAGUCAUUUGGUUUUAACCUUAAUGUUUUUUUAAUUAUAUAUUAACAAUAUAGCGUUAAGGUAUAGAAUAAAUAUAUAAUAGUAGAAUAUCAUAAGAUAAAAAUAGUGUAACAGCUAUAAUGUAUAAAAAUAAAUAUUUAUAAACGUAUUUCUAAUAUUUUGUUUGAUAUUAUCUAAUAUAAAUAUAUCUAUAAAAUAUAAAAAAUUUAUUCGUAGAAAACAUUUAAAAUUAAAUAUUACAAAAAAUCUAAAGGAAUAAUAAUUUUGUAUCUUAUAACUAUUUCUUUAUUAGAGAUUUUUACAUUGAUUAUUGAUAAAUUAUUUGCAUAAUUCUAAUACUUUUUAAAGAAUUCAUUUAUUUGUACAAUAAUGCAACAGUUUAGAGAUAAG